ACAUGCCUACAACAUAGCGUUAAUGCAUCGGAUCCCAUUAGAACUCCGCAAUUAAAUGCGCACAAGCUAGAGUAGUAUUGGGAUGGGUGAUUUCCUAGGAAGUGCUAGUGUUUUACAUGCC
rfam:Picea glauca, whole genome shotgun sequence.